rnacentral:rRNA from 1 species
UACGUAGGGUGCGAGCGUUGUCCGGAAUUAUUGGGCGUAAAGAGCUUGUAGGCGGUUUGUCGCGUCUGCUGUGAAAAUCCGGGGCUCAACCCCGGACUUGCAGUGGGUACGGGCAGACUAGAGUCCGGUAGGGGAGCGUGGAAUUCCUGGUGUAGCGGUGAAAUGCGCAGAUAUCAGGAGGAACACCGGUGGCGAAGGCGGAUCUCUGGGCCUUGCCUGACGCUGAGGCGCGAAAGCUAGGGGAGCGAACAGG